AUCAUUAGAAUCAAAAUUCAAGA
rnacentral:snRNA from 1 species